rnacentral:lncRNA from 1 species
GGAUAACUAGCUAGAUAAGCUACCAGGGAUAAGGAUGAGAGGGAGUGGAGCCUGACUGCAGCGUCCGAUGUUUUGUGUGCGCGUCGGAUGGCCGUUCAAUAUCAUUACUGCUCUUCAACUCUCUACUUUGAUUGAUUCCAGUCUCCUAACUCUGUAGGUUGGAAUGAGUUGUGACCAUCAUCUUCACUUCAUCUUCUCAAGGAUACACACAAAAGAUACCAAACUGGCAUUAAAGACACUAACCUAAUUUCGCUGCUUAAACUUUGAACAAUUUAUUUUAUGCACUUUCGAACUACUGUGAUG